AGACCUACCUUUGAGUAAUUUCCACAUACUAUGACCUUUUCUUGUAUUUUGGAGUUCUGUAUUGUAAAGUUAACCCAGCAAUUCUCUUGUUUUAUACAUGCAUGUAUCGAGUAUGUUUUGGUAUGGGUCACUAAAUGUGCAUGCUUUCUGUUUCCCCUAUCAUGGCUAAACUCAUGGAUGCUUGUUUUCACUUUUGUUUUUUAAAAAGAGAAUACUCAGUAAUCAUGAAAAGAUAAUAAAAAAAAAUUAAGGGAAGAUACCCUACGUAACCAAACCCCAUGGAGCUGUUUAGCAAUUUAUUUUGCAAAAUAGAUUUUGAGAAAUUAUUUAUAGAACUGUGAAUAAAUAUCUUGUGGAGGUUGAGAUUAUUGUGCGCUUGAAAUUUUUGUUUUUUCAAUGGUAGUAAAGCUAAACGAUUUUAGCUUUGGAUUUAAGGAAGUGCCUAGUAAGCAUAGUCAUAUACCGUAAAGGAAGGCUGACAUGGUAGUAUGUGAUCAGAGACAUCAAGUGGACAGUCUACCAUAAAUUGGCAGAAAAAGGGUGUUUGAGGAACAUGUGAGCUUAUAUUUCUUUGCUUGCAUUAGCAGCAUUGGUUGGGACAGGUUGAAUGCUUGUGGCUUUGAGUUCUUUGACCAACACCAAAUCCCCCAACACUGAACUCCAUCAGAAGGAUUUCACCUUGUUUUGGGCAUUUAACUAUCCAGAUGGCUGUACAAGGGCCAAAAGACCAGAAUCAAGUAUGUGGUUUCUGCUAUUAACAAUAAUAAUUAAGCUAGCCUCUUCAAUGGCUCAAUCGUGAAUAUAAAUCUCAACAAUGAGUCAUUUGGCUUCUAGUGGAGGCACAACUCAAACAGUCUAGUCUAGGGAUUAUCAUGAUUGAAGUGUUAGGAGUCCCACCAAAUGUUCUUCAAAUGACGUUCCUUAUUUUUUUGAACCAGAAAUGAGACUUUCCAUUGAAGAAAUGAAAAGAGACUAAUGCUAAAAAAUACGAACUCCACAAGGUAGCAACAUAUUAUAAAGGAAAGUUAUGGAGGAGAUAUAAAAGCAUGCCAAUUUAAAUUAGUAUCAAAUAAGUAAGGCUUCGAUAGAUAACAUCAUGAAGAUGCCUUCAAAUAAGUAAGGCUGCUUGUCUUUGAAGAUUCUUUGAUUCCUUUCCAUCCAUAUUUCCGAAGAAUUCGCCACAUUAACUCGCACAAAAUUGGGUUCAGAAUUGUGCAAAUUUUUCAGAAAGGAAAUCUUAUGAUAUGUUGGGAAUUUCUUAUGAUAACCAUCCACAUCUAAAGCGUAUCUUAAUGCCUGAAAAUUGGGUAGGAUAUAAUAUAAGGAUUAUGUUGCCCCCAAUUUUUAUGAAAUACAAGAGGGUAGGAUGUAAUGUAAGGAUUAUGUUGCCCCCAACUUUUAUGAAAUACAAAAUGCUCAUUAAAUAAUAUGAAACUAAUCUUCACUUCGACAACUCAAGAUAUUCAAAUACAUUUGUACGUUCUCUUAUAGAUAUAGCAUAGUAAUUGAAGUCUCAUUCAUCUUAUUAUUAUUGAUUUAAAAUAUAAA